rnacentral:rRNA from 1 species
UACGGAGGGAGCUAGCGUUGUUCGGAAUUACUGGGCGUAAAGCGCGCGUAGGCGGCUUUGUAAGUUAGAGGUGAAAGCCCGGGGCUCAACCCCGGAACUGCCUUUAAGACUGCAUCGCUUGAAUCCGGGAGAGGUGAGUGGAAUUCCGAGUGUAGAGGUGAAAUUCGUAGAUAUUCGGAAGAACACCAGUGGCGAAGGCGGCUCACUGGACCGGUAUUGACGCUGAGGGUGC